rnacentral:lncRNA from 1 species
CUCCUCAACCUCAGUCAGAGCCAAGAUCCAAGGAGCAGGUAUGAGAAUACUGCGGGUACAGCCACAACAAGGCACUGACUCCUUCUAAGAUCCAAAAUCUGAAACUCACUGCAUGGCUCUGAAGCUGAUAAAAGGUUCCGAUCCAACAAUUCCAUGACCUUCUCCCAAGCCAGAGGAGUAAACGUGAAGACUUUCAGCUGCUUAUCCACUGUUUUUCUCGUAAGUGGUACAGCUGGGAUCACCACCCAGGAACUGAUUCUUAGAUGCCCAAAUCAAGUUGGUUCCAGUGCUCUCACCUGGACCUGAAAAGAACUAGCGAGUCAGAAAACUUCAUCAGAGUGAUUGAGCCCAGGCCAGAAUGGGCCAUGAAGAUGGCUGGCAUGAGCAGAGGAUGGAACCAGCAGUAACAAGUUUUGGAAAUAAAGGAAACGACAGAACUAAAUGCCAGGCUUUCAGCAAAAGUGGAAAAUUACAACUCAAUUAUGCAGGCAGUAGAGAAUCUGCCUACUUUGAAUCUGACUCAUUCUUUUAUUAUAAACCAACAUAUAUUGAGCUGUUCCAUGAACAAGAACUGCGUUGGAGAUUACUGCUUACACAAGAGUGA